AACGAACGCUGGCGGUGUGCUUAAUACAUGCAAGUCGAACGAUGAGUACCUUUCGGGGUACAUCAGUGGCGGACGGCUGAGUAACACGUAGGUAACGUGCCCUUUACUGGGGGAUAACAUCGGGAAACCGGUGCUAAUACCGCAUAAGUGCCAGGUUGAAAUACCUGUCAUUAAAGAAUUUCGGUAAAGGAUCGGCCUGCGUCUGAUUAGCUAGUUGGUAGGGUAAAGGCCUACCAAGGCAAUGAUCAGUAGUUGGUCUGAGAGGAUGACCAGCCAGAGUGGGACUGAGACACGGCCCACACUUCUACGGAAGGCAGCAGUAGGGAAUUUUGCGCAAUGGGCGAAAGCUUGACGCAGCAACACCGCGUGUAGGAUGAAGGAUCUUGGUCUGUAAACUACUGUCAGCAGGGAAGAUAAUGACGGUACCCGCAGAAGAAGCUCCGGCUAACUUCGUGCCAGCCGCCGCCGUAACAC
rnacentral:rRNA from 1 species